CCCGUACCGUAAACCGACACAGGUGGAUGAGGAGAGAAUCCUAAGGCCGGCGGAAGAAGCAUUGUUAAGGAAUUCGGCAAAAUGACCCCGUAACUUCGGGAGAAGGGGUGCCUGCGAGAGCAGGCCGCAGAGAAUAGGCUCAAGCAACUGUUUAGCAAAAACACAGGUCUAUGCGAAACCGAAAGGUGAAGUAUAUGGGCUGACGCCUGCCCGGUGCUGGAAGGUUAAGAGGAGAGGUUAGCGAAAGCGAAGCUUUGAAUUUAAGCCCCAGUAAACGGCGGCCGUAACUAUAACGGUCCUAAGGUAGCGAAAUUCCUUGUCGGGUAAGUUCCGACCCGCACGAAAGGCGUAAUGAUUUGAGCACUGUCUCGACAAUGCAUCCGGUGAAAUUGAAGUACCAGUGAAGAUGCUGGUUACCCGCGCCAGGACGGAAAGACCCCAUGGAGCUUUACUCCAGUUUGAUACUGGGAUUCGGUACUGCAUGUACAGGAUAGGUGGGAGACGAAGAAGGAUGGACGCCAGUCUGUCCGGAGUCGCUGUUGGGAUACCACCCCUGUAGUACUGGGUUUCUAACCAGUUGCCAUGAACUGGCAAUGGGACAAUGUCAGGCGGGGAGUUUGACUGGGGCGGUCGCCUCCGAAAGGGUAUCGGAGGCGCUCAAAGGUUCCCUCAGAAUGGUUGGAAACCAUUUGAAGAGUGCAAAGGCAGAAGGGAGCUUGACUGCGACACCGACGGGUGGAGCAGGUACGAAAGUAGGACUUAGUGAUCCGGUGGUAUAAAGUGGGAUUGCCAUCGCUCAACGGAUAAAAGCUACCCUGGGGAUAACAGGCUUAUCACUCCCAAGAGUUCACAUCGACGGAGUGGUUUGGCACCUCGAUGUCGGCUCAUCGCAUCCUGGGGCUGUAGCAGGUCCCAAGGGUUGGGCUGUUCGCCCAUUAAAGCGGUACGCGAGCUGGGUUCAGAACGUCGUGAGACAGUUCGGUCCCUAUCCGGCGCGGGCGGAGGAUAUUUGAGAGGAGCUGUCCUUAGUACGAGAGGACCGGGAUGGACGGACCACUGGUGUAUCUGUUGUCGACCAACGGCAUGGCAGAGUAGCCAAGUCUGGAAGGGAUAAACGCUGAAGGCAUCUAAGCGUGAAGCCCCCCUCAAGAUGAGAUAUCCCUCCUUCGGGAGUAAGACCCCUUGAAGACUACAAGGUAGAUAGGGCAGAGGUGGAAGCAUGGCAACAUGUGGAGCUGACUGUUACUAAUAGGUCGAGGGCUUAAUCUG
rnacentral:rRNA from 1 species